rnacentral:lncRNA from 1 species
AUUUACUAAAAAACAAAAUAGUAAAAACUAAAUAUCUGAAAAUAACAAUUAAUAAUCAAAGUUGAUAAUUACCUAACCCAAACACAAAGUUCCAUAAGUUUUAAAACAAAGUUCAUAAUCUAAGAAUAAUCAAACUAAACCUAGUGAAAUGUUUACACCACUGUUUGAGUACAUUUACCACGGGUAUGACCAACCUCACCACAAAUUCCACAUCGCUUUGGCCUACGCUUCCUAGGCAUAGUAAGAUGGUUACUACUAACAUCUUCAUCUUGUGUCAAGGGGACAUCUUCAGUACACCUAGCUCGAUUAUGACCACUUUUAUGACAUGUAGAACAAACUUGAGCAUGUCGAGCAUGUGAUGAAGAUGAUUGAAAGCUAGAUCGGAAAGACUUGUCUUUAUCUCCUUUAUCACCGUGUAUCAUGGUGAUUGCUUGAUUCCUCCCAGCCAAUGCCGUGUGGUAGUCUACAUCAACACCAAAGUCUCUCUUCAAUUGUGCUUGUAUCUCUUUCGGCUUCAAUAUAGAUCCUUCUUUCGACAAAGUCGGUGCAAAGUAUGCACCUACGACCUUUGCACAAAUUGUUGGGCGACAACGAAGCCUCAAAUCCUUUUGGCAAGUAUGAGCAACCAACUUAAAAAUUCUCCAAAUCGCCCCGUAUGCCGUAGCACGCAACAAGAAAGAGCAUUGAUCUUUGAAUCUGCAAAGAGCUCCAAAUCUUCUCUUAGUUGAUCGAUCAACAAUAUAUUCCACCCGAUUCAACAAGUGAUACAAUCCCAAUUGAAUUCUCAUAUUUUCUUUAUCUGUGAAUAUAGCGCCAAUCGAAAUUGUGUCACUGUUGUAAUCAUAAGAUAUUUCUGGUUCAAUAAGAAGGGAUGCAUGAUACUUAGCACCAGGAAUAACCCACUGCCGCGGUCCUUGUCUGUGUUCUUCUUCAUUACAACUAGAACUACCUAUUGGUGGCACAUUAUGAAUAUCUCUCUCAUAACCUCUAUCAACAUGUUUAUUAUUAGCUUCAACAUCAUCAUCUCUUCGAUCUUCAUCACCAACACCUUGCUCGCGAAUGCAAUCAGUCUGAACACCAUCAGCUGAUUCUAAAUCUCUCACAUCCUCCCUCUCAUUCAUAAUGUUCACAUUCGGAGGAUUAAUGGCAGCAUCAUUACCAACAGGAGGCCUCGAAUGUGGAAUAUUACUCAUCUGGUGCACAUACGUAUGUUGAACUUGAUGCAUUUGAGCAUUCAACAAGUUCAUAGAACUGUGCUCUUUAGAAGUAUUUAUCCUAGGAGAAAGUGUGACAUAGAGAGUAGGGACAUCAAAUAAUUCCAUUACAUACACCAAAUCAUCGUCGUCCGUUAUCUUCAUUCUCAAUAAUUCAUCUAACGGGGAUGGCACUAUUGCAUCAAUCACAUAAGCAUGAACAUUUGUAUCAGCUUGCACGGCACACCCAACUUUUCUCAACAAUUCCACAUACUUCAUCCCAUCCGGAGGCACACGAACAAAUUCUCGUUGCCCACCCACAUACGUAAUAUCAUUCCAUUGACCUCCAUGUGUUAAUAUUAUACACUUUGGCCUCAUCUGCACCAAAAAAUCCAUAUCUAUUUAGAACAAUGCACACAACAUCAAGACUGUGGCACGAAUAAGAGAGAGACGUGAUAAAUCAAGACUGUGUUGCGAAGAAGAGAAGACACGCAAGAGGG